UAAAAAGUUAACACAUACCACACCAAAAAAAAAUAAAGAAGAGAAUUAUGCAUCUCCAAAAGCAACAUAGUAUAUCCGAAAAUAUAUUAGGCGAACCAAUUACUUGUUGUACAAAUACAAUUUCAUUUACGUCCUGGCACAUCUUUACAAAUAUUUAUAAUCGCAAAAUAUCUUACGAUAUGUAAAUGCACACAAACAUGCUUUACAGUUAUACGCAAGGCAAAGUUUGGUUCGACCUAAGUAUGAAAUAAAAUGAAGCAAAACAAGGCGGUGAUUUUCAUAGCAGCACCUAACCAACAACAACCUUAAUGUUUCGUAGAUCCGUUACAUUCGGAUGCAUAAGAUGCUAGCGAAAUUAACAUUAUACCCCAUUGACAAUUGGUCACUCUGAAUUGACACACUGGAAAUUGAGCCGAAUCGUGGAAUUUAUAAGUUAAUACAUAUGUACGUAGUGUGUAAGUAUGUAAUCAGCGCUUUGAAAUGCGAACUGCUCGCCAUUUAAUGUAAAUAUAAAUUUCUGUUA